GACGAACGCUGGCGGCGUGCUUAACACAUGCAAGUCGAACGAUGAACCACUUCGGUGGGGAUUAGUGGCGAACGGGUGAGUAAUACGUGGGCAAUCUGCCCUUCACUCUGGGACAAGCCCUGGAAACGGGGUCUAAUACCGGAUAACACUCUCGCAGGCAUCUGCGAGGGUUAAAAGCUCCGGCGGUGAAGGAUGAGCCCGCGGCCUAUCAGCUUGUUGGUGAGGUAAUGGCUCACCAAGGCGACGACGGGUAGCCGGCCUGAGAGGGCGACCGGCCACACUGGGACUGAGACACGGCCCAGACUCCUACGGGAGGCAGC
rnacentral:rRNA from 1 species